rnacentral:rRNA from 1 species
AUUGAACGCUGGCGGCAUGCUUUACACAUGCAAGUCGAACGGCAGCGGGGUAGUGCUUGCACUACGGCCGGCGAGUGGCGCACGGGUGAGUAAUAUAUCGGAACGUACCGAGUAAUGGGGGAUAACCAAUCGAAAGAUUGGCUAAUACCGCAUACGUCCUGAGGGAGAAAGCGGGGGAUCGCAAGACCUCGCGUUAUUCGAGCGGCCGAUAACUGAUUAGCUAGUUGGUGGGGUAAAGGCCUACCAAGGCGACGAUCAGUAGCGGGUCUGAGAGGACGAUCCGCCACACUGGGACUGAGACACGGCCCAGACUCCUACGGGAGGCAGCAGUGGGGAAUUUUGGACAAAGGGGGCAACCCUGAUCCAGCCAUGCCGCGUGUAUGAAGAAGGCCUUCGGGUUGUAAAGUACUUUUGUUAGGGAAGAAAAGGGAAGUGCUAAUACCACUUUUUGCUGACGGUACCUAAAGAAUAAGCACCGGCUAACUACGUG